rnacentral:sRNA from 1 species
AUUCUGCCCAUGCGGGGAAGGAUGAGAAGCUUCGACCAAGGUUCGACUCGAGCGCCAGCGAGAGAGCGCCAGCGAGAGAGCGUUGCCGC